rnacentral:rRNA from 1 species
UGAGCAAUCUGCCCUUCUCAUCGGAAUAAGCGUUGGAAACGACGUCUAAUGCCGAAUACGACCUCCUUUCGCAUGAUCGGAGGUGGAAAGCUCCGGCGGAGAAGGAUGAGCUCGCGGCCUAUCAGCUAGUUGGUGUGGUAAUGGCCCACCAAGGCGACGACGGGUAGCCGGUCUGAGAGGGCGACCGGCCACACGUGGGACUGAGACACCGGCCCAGACCUCCGUACGGGAGCAG